CAAGUGACGCCAAGCCCCCAAAUCCAAAACAUCCUCCGGAAAAUACAAAAAAUACCGACAGGUGGUGAUGGCGGUGGCUCAUGUCCCCAGAAUCUCCAACUACUUGACCGGUUGCAUCCGACGUUGAAAUAUACAGGGCAAAUUCAACUAAAGACGAAAUAUGUGGAAAUUACGAAUCGUAACUCUGAGAUGGGCAUACCUUUAUGACAAAGGCUGGAUACUUAACAUCAAAAACAAAAUCUACGAACGCAACCAAAGAAGCCAGACACUGCCGUCCUUCCCGGUAGCGGAGCCACUACCAAAAUACCUAGAAUUUUAUUUUUAGAAUUUGAAUGUUUUUGUAAUCAAUUGGGGUUAGGUACCUACCUGGUUUUUGAAAAGAGGGAUACUAAAUAACAACAGCCGGAUUUACUGUUAGAUAGGAUGGAAAUUUCCAUUCCGGGGUGGGUUAGUUUCCGACUCAGGGGUGAAGAGGGUUUUUAUUUGUUGAAAGGAAGUUCGGCGCCUUUUUGGAAUGGGAAGAAGGACUUGCUUGCUGACUACCUUCGAGAGAGUUUCGUUCCCGUAGUUUACAAUUCGAGAGUUCAUAUCAGGUGAUGUAAUUGGUUUUUGUUAAUUCAUUAAUUGCAUGUAAUGUAAAUUGUGUUCCCUCAUAUUUAUAAUAUCAUUUUCCAAUUUGUACUUCAAUCCGAAUAUUCACAUAACUGCCAAUUUUGUACUUUGUUUGUAAGGGGAUGCCUGGUGUUAAAUAUCUUGCCAAAAUGUUAUGGGGAAAGCGACCCUCUAGCUGGGGAAGUUUCGGAUUUGUGUUUAUUAUGUUAACUUGGAAGGCGCCUAUAUGACUAUUCAGAUUCGUGUUCACAGUUGUUGAGUAGCUUAGUUGUAGAGUAGAAGCGUUGAUUUUCUACGUGUGCAAUGACCAUUUAUGAGAGGACACUAAUCUUUCGACCGUGAGAAACUAGAGUCCAUCGGCGAAUCAAAUUAUAAAAUUGCAAGAAAACCACAAGGCAAGCGACUCUAGUUUCGAACCUUCAGCUUUAGGCAAGUUGUACUCGCAAACCCAGAGCAGUCUUGUUACCUGUUCCAGGGGUGGAACUAUAAUUAACAGUCUUCCGUUUCUGAAAGGUGUGUGUGACCGAGUUUGUGUAUAAUCGUGAGAUAAUUGACGCUUGGGAACACGAGUUUGGAUGUCAUUGCUAUUUCAUGUUGUACCGACUAAGCCAGCUAGAAGAGUUUAUUCCCCUGGUAUUGUUCCAAUCCGUUGUUCCAAUAAUGACUAUUUUAUAUCGCCGUAAUGACUACUAUUUACCAAGUACUGUUAAGAGUAUCGUAUUAUAUUUCAGGAAACCCCGUGUUAGCUUGUUUAUUAACGUCAACCCCUUUAGCUUCUACGAACACGAGUCGAGGGUUUCUCUGGCAGAGGUCUUCCCUCGCACAGGCCUACUCGUUAGGGACUUCUGCAUUUCCAAAUUAUUAGGGAAUCUGUUUGGGUAACAAUAAAUACUUUAGGCCGCA